rnacentral:rRNA from 1 species
GUGUCAGCCGCCGCGGUAAGACGAACUGUGCGAACGUUAUUCGGAAUCACUGGGCUUACAGGGUGCGUAGGCGGCCACGUAAGUAGGGUGUGAAAUCCCCCGGCCCAACCGGGGAACUGCGCUCUAAACUACAUGGCUUGAGUGAGCUAGGGGUCCACGGAACUUCCAGUGGAGCGGUGAAAUGUGUUGAUAUUGGAAGGAACACCGGAGCCGAAAGGGGUGGACUGGGGCUCAACUGACGCUGAGGCACGAAAGCCAGGGUAGCGAACGGGAUUAGAAACCCCGGUAGUCC